rnacentral:rRNA from 1 species
AGGACGAACGCUGGCGGCGUGCUUAACACAUGCAAGUCACGGGGGUCCCGCAAGGGAUAACCGGCGAACGGGUGCGUAACACGUGAACAACCUGCCCUCGUGUGGGGGAUAGCCAUGCUAACGCGUGGGUAAUACCGCAUACGUUUCCUGAAGGGAGUCCUUUGGGAAGGAAAGCUCCGGCGCACGGGGAGGGGUUCGCGGCCUAUCAGCUAGUUGGCGGGGUAAUGGCCCACCAAGGCGACGACGGGUAGCU